rnacentral:rRNA from 1 species
CACGUAGGGGGCAAGCGUUGUCCGGAAUCAUUGGGCGUAAAGAGCUCGUAGGCGGCUCGGUAAGUCGGGUGUGAAACCCCCAGGCUCAACCUGGGGACGCCACCCGAUACUGCUGUGGCUAGAGUCCAGUAGGGGAGUGUGGAAUUCCCGGUGUAGCGAUGAAAUGCGCAGAUAUCGGGAGGAACACCAGCGGCGAAGGCGGCACUCUGGGCUGGAACUGACGCUGAGGAGCGAAAAGCGUGGGUAGCAAACAGG